GAUCUCAGAAUUUGAAUCCACGCGUUGGAUUAAAGUCAUCCGAAAACCCGGAAAAGUUGUUGGCGCGUGGAGAGCGUGUAAGGGGACAGGCCGAACCUCGAGAUGCUGUGGCAGACAGCUUUAGCCGAAAGCAGAUUUGACUGCCGUAAAUCACGGAAGGGAUAAGCCGUGACACAAGUGGGCCGUACUUGGGCCUGUCUCGGAUCAAGGCAUCACUGUAGCUGUGGGUGGAGGCCUGAUGGGCCGAGUUUCAGAAACAGUUUUGGACAUGAUGGGCCGAGUUUCUGAAACAGUUUUGGAUGAGUUGGGCCGAAUUGUUGAAACAGUUGAAACAGUUGGUUUAAAUAAAAGGAUUGGUAUGGAUAAUAACGUGAGCAGCCGUGCUCGAGUGGUUGAGUGUACAGUUCGUGUACAAGAGGUCUGAGGUUCGAACCUCGCCUCUCGUUUAUUUUUAUUAUGUUCGUUAUGACAUAAUAAGUAUAAAAUUUGUACACAUUAUAUUAAGCACAGCUUGUGCUCCAGUGGUUGGGGGACAAAGGUUUCGUGCGGCAGGUUGAGGUUUCGAACCUUGCCUUCCCCGUUAUUUUAUUUAUGUCGCUUAUGACAUAAUAAAUAUAACACGUGAGCAUAUAUUAAUGAAGGCAGCUCUUGCUUCAGUGGUUGGGAGCAAAACCUUCGUGUUCGAGGUCGGGAGUUCGAACCUUACCUCUUACAAAUAUUUUUGGAUCUCGUAUAUGCUUGAUAUACGGACGUAUAUACGAUAUGUACGGUAUACAUAAGUAUAUACGGUCUGUACGGUAUGCAUACGUAUAUACAGUUGUACGGUAUGCAUACGUAUAUACGGUCUGUAUGGUAUGUAUACGUAUAUACGGUAUGUACAAUUUCAUACCGUAGCCGAGCUGGAAGUUGGUGGGCCGAUUGGUAGGCCCAAAUAGUAAGCCCAAUUGUUCGGCCCGAUUGGUAGGCCCAAAUGGUAGGCCCAAAUGUUAAGCCCAAUCGUUCGGCCCGAAUAGUAGGCCCAAAUGUUAAACCCAAAGUGGUUUGGGCCGGUUCGAAAUGUGGAUGGUCCGAUUUCUUCAGGCCCAAUUGGCCAGCCCUAGUGCUUAGCCCAAGGAUUGAGCAAGCCCAAGUCAUCAUCAUUGGGUGACAUAAUUUAUUGGCGUACUUUUGGGGAUGAUUUGUUUUGAGUGAUGCAUCUCUAUGGUUGUGAAGAGUGGUGCAUGCUUAAGUUUUACUAUGGAGAUUUACCGUGAUGCUAAUUGAGUAGCGAAACACUUUGUGGGAGUGAUUACUGUGCUUGUAUGCCAGUACAGAGUGAUGAUCUAUGUGAAGAUCUAUGUGAUGAUCUAUGUGAAGAUCUAUGUGAGGAUCUAUGAGAUGAUCCAUGUGACGAUUUUGUGUAUGUGAUGUGGAGUGUUGUUGAACAGUUGUUUUGUGAAUUUACAUUGUGAUGAAGGGAUUUAGUGGCCAUAGGAAUGUAUUUUUAUACAAAGGAUUGUGGCUUUGUAGAUUACUACAGAUUUGGAAAAGAUGGAGAUUCUAUGAUUAGGUCAACCUUAAUCGAGAGGAAUUGACUUACGCUUAAAUUUCGGGACGAAAUUUCUUUAAGGAGGGUAGAUUGUAAUACCCCGAAAAAUCCAAAUUAAAUUCUGUGGAUUUUUAGAAAUGAUUUCACGAUAGUGGGAGCGAGUACGAGGCUCGGAGGAAUUGUGGAAUUAGUUCGAACGAUUAAUUUUCGAAAAAACGAACGUUAUUUAGGGGGUCUCAAAAAGUGACUUUUUAUACAUUGGGAAUUUGGGAAAACUUCCUUCAUGAAAGUUGUAGAGGACAUUAAACCGAGUGCGUGCAUAUGUGGUACGUAAAAAUCGGAGUUCGUAUGCGAAAGUUAUAAGCAAAAUAUGAAAGUUACUGUUUAUGGUAGAUUGGUAUAAAUUUGAAAUGUUACUGUAGCCAGGUAACUUUUCUUUCUUUUCUCUCUCCUUCCCCCGUGCUCUCUCAGUCUCUCUCUUCUGCAACUCUCUCUUUCUCUCUUCUGCAACCUCCUCUUUCACCACCUCUAGACCACCAAAUGGCGAGCUGCGAGCAUCGAUAGACUCGUCUCUUCCUCCUUAUCACGCAUGUGGGAGUUGUUUACGACGAUUUGGCCGGAAAUGUGGAGAUCGAAGCCAACAUUUUUACUGUAGCAAAUUAGUCAACGCCGAUUUCCGGCCACCUCCAGUCAUAAACCCAGGUCCAUUAGAAGCGCCUUAAGCCGCUCUUCAUGCUCGCCAAGUCUCAUAACCCAGAUCGAAGCAUGGAGGAAGAAAGCAUAAUUGGAAAAUUUCACUGUACAUCGGAGUGCUUAAUUGUUCGGCUACUUCAAGGUGAUUGACGGUUUGAGUUGGUGGACGAUUGUGGAUCGUAUUUUGAGCUGAAUUGAAGACGCAGCGGGAUUAUCGAGCGGGUAAUCCUACAGGACAGGAGAACCAGGACGGUGACCGUGCGGUUAGAGCAAUUGUUAGAGUUUUACAGCAAUUGUAAGUUGUGAGGUGUGUUAUGCUCAUUUAGAGCUUUACAAUAUUGCUUGUGAGAGUGAAUUGUAAUAAUGAACUCGAGGUUUCGAGAUUUGGAGUUUGUGUACCUUGUGGUGAGAUUAUAUUGAGAAAAAAAUUCAGAACGUUUAUUUGAUUAAGUGGUUUAAUUCAUGUUUCGGAUUUGAAUUUAUUAUU